UGAGGAAUAUUGGUCAAUGGGGGCAACCCUGAACCAGCCAAGUCGCGUGAAGGAUGACGGUCUUAUGGAUUGUAAACUUCUUUUAUACAGGAAUAAAUUGGGGGACGUGUCCCCUUUUGCAUGUACUGUAUGAAUAAGGAUCGGCUAACUCCGUGCCAGCAGCCGCGGUAAUACGGAGGAUCCGAGCGUUAUCCGGAUUUAUUGGGUUUAAAGGGUGCGCAGGCGGGAUGUUAAGUCGGCGGUGAAAUUUUGCAGCUCAACUGUAAAAGUGCCUUCGNUACUGGCUUCCUUGAGUGUAGAUGAAGUAGGCGGAAUUUGUGGUGUAGCGGUGAAAUGCUUAGAUAUCACGAGGAACUCCGAUUGCGCAGGCAGCUUACUAAACUACAACUGACGCUCAUGCACGAAGGCGUG
rnacentral:rRNA from 1 species